rnacentral:piRNA from 1 species
UGAAAAAGCAAUAAAGCAUGAUAGGGUGGGA